CAGUCGCCACGGUAAUACGUAGGGGGCUAGCGUUAUCCGGAUUUACUGGGCGUAAAGGGUGCGUAGGUGGUCCUUCAAGUCGGUGGUUAAAGGCUACGGCUCAACCGUAGUAAGCCGCCGAAACUGGAGGACUUGAGUGCAGGAGAGGAAAGUGGAAUUCCCAGUGUAGCGGUGAAAUGCGUAGAUAUUGGGAGGAACACCAGUAGCGAAGGCGGCUUUCUGGACUGCAACUGACACUGAGGCACGAAAGCGUGGGUAGCAAACAGGAUUAGAUACCCCAGUAGUCCCUGUCUCUUAUACA
rnacentral:rRNA from 1 species